rnacentral:lncRNA from 1 species
UUUUGUGGUAAGAGAUGAGAGUCUCGCUAUGUGGCCCAGGCUGGUCUCAAACUCCUGGGCUCAAGUGAGCUUCCUGCCUCGGCCUCCCAAAUUGCUGCAAUUACAGGUGUGAGCCACUGUGCCUGGCCAGCCUCACUAUUUAAAUGGGGAGAGCACAGGGAGAGGAAGGAAAUAGCUAGAGAGAAAAAACAAUGGUUAAUAUUUUAAAAAUAGUAGUUCAAAUAUAUAUUUACUUUGUCUGGGAAUGUGUAGUUAAAGUUAUGUGAGAGGAAUAAUUUCCCAGUGUUUACUGGUUCUAUACAUCUAGUGUGGAAACUCAAACUUCUUUUUAAAAAUUUUUUAAAUACCUCUUUUUCUUUUGAGACAAGGUCUCACUGUUUCCCAGGCUGGAGCGCAGUGACACAAUCAUGGCUCACUCGACCUCUCUGGGCUCAGGCUCCCACCUCAGCCUCCCAAGCAGCUAAUUUUUUUUUCCAAUUUUUUGAGAGCUUGAAUGGAGGUUCUAGCAGGGGAGUGCAGUUACUUGUAUACCCUUGACCGAAGACCAGUCCUCCUCUGUCGGGGAUGUUCGUCCUCUUUGACCAAGUGCACAGCUUCGGGAGGGACGCACAUGGAGCGGUGAGGGAGGAAGGGGACACCCUCCUAGCCAACCCUGGCGAUCAGUGGGGUGACAGAUGUUGCAGCCAGAUAGCCCUUACAUCCUUUUUUUUUGUACUUUUUGUAGAGACUGGGCCAGCUAAUUUAUUUUUGGUAUUUUUUGUAGAGACGGGGUCUCCAUAUGUUGCCCAACUCGUCUCAAACUCCUGUACUCAAGAGAUCCGCCCACGUCAGCCUCUCAAUGUGCUGGGAUUACAGCUGUGAGCCACCGUGCCCUGCCAAAAAUAGCUUUAAGAUAUUAUCCAAAAAGUGGAGGUGACCCAAGUGUCCAUUGACAGUUGAAUGGAUAAACAAAAUAUGGUGUAUACCUACAAUGGGAUUUUAUUCAGCCUUCUAGAGGAAAGCUAUUGUGACACACAGUACAACAUGAACGAACCUUGAGGACAUUAUGCUAGGUGACAUAACACAAAAAGACAAAUACUGUGACUCCACUUGUAUGAGGUACCUAGGGUAGUCAGGUUCAUAGGGAUGGGAAAGACUGGUGAUGACUAGCAGGUGGAGGGAGAGGGCAGUGAGUUACCAUUUAAUGGGUACAGAGUUUCAGUUCUGCUAGAUGAAAAGAGCUCUGCAGAUGGAUGGUGGUGAUGGCUGUACAACAGUGUGAAUGUGCUUAAUACCUCUGAACUGUACACCUACAAAUGAUUAAGAUGGU